ensembl:lncRNA
GAGCACGUCACUUCUAGGUAAAUUUACACAGAAAUUAAAUUUCGCUGCCCCUCGUUUUAAACAUAAUCCUAGGCUGAAUUUUUAUAGUGCACUGAUCGAUAUCUUGGUAAAAUAAUCAUUUUUUUUUUUAAACUAGCGAGGCAGUGAAAUCUUUGCUUUGUUGCUAAAGUCAACAGUGACAGAGUUUGAGCUCAAAUAAAUGCCGCGAGGCUUCCAGCCCUGUGCAGAAGGCAGCGGGAGAGGCUCCGAUACCGUUCUGCAGGCUCCAGGAGGAUUGUGCGUGCAACAAUGCGAUUUCACGGCAAUGUAGCUCGACGCUUGAACAGAGCUGAUGUUAAGGGGCUCUUUCAGCCGACUGUCAGAACGCUAUUCCAGCUGAUUGAUGCCAAUGAUACCGGAGAAGACAUGCAUUGCUUUCGCCGUGCCAGUAACAGCAGCUCAUCAAAUGGAGUUCUUCUCAGGUUUGGUCUCAAAGAGUACAGCAGAGAUAAGACUCAGCCACACAAUGUCCCCUCAGUAGGUCUCAUUGACCGGCCCAUGGCACCGGCCAGAUCUGAACUAAUCAGUUGUCAUCUUCAUCGUAGUGCCACUUCAUUUGGCAACUGCUGGUUCAACCCUUUCCAUCAGCCACGUUCACCUGCAGCUACCCACAGUCACGUCUGACCUGGAUGCAUGAGCAAGAUAACAUUCACAUCUGCAACGUCAAGAGAGAGGGGCACAAGGAAGCCUGACAUUAAUGAUUAACAGCGCUAAAAGCCCCUGCUUUUGUAUUCCCAUGGAGCCGGGGCUAUCUGCCGAUCAUGUGACCUGCACCGAGAAGAUUGGGGGAUUGAGCGCAAAAGCAAACACAGGUGUUUGGGCUGAAAUCGGUCGGUCGGUGCUGUUAGGGACAACUGCAAACACAGGCUGCCAUGCCUGGAGAUGCGAAUGCCCGCCCACACCAACAGGACAGCCAACCGGAGUCAUUGACUCAACUCUGAUGCUCUCGGCCUGCCUUUUCUCUGAACAAUUAAGACUCUUCAUUGGCCUAUUAAAGUCUGCUCUUUGAGUACAGUUUGACCUAAGGAGCUAUGAAUUCUUAAUUGAGCAUCAUAAAUAGGCAAAACCAUAAAUAAAAAUAAACAAAGCUUUUUAUAAAUAAAUAGAUAACAUAAAAACCACUUUCUUAAUGUAGCAAAAUGUUGUAAAAUUAUUGCACCUCAUAUGAGGUCACCACUUAUAGUGUCAACGUUUUUAAGUUCAAUUCACAUUGUUUGCAAGAGACUUGUCUGGUUUCGUUCAUCUAAAAAUCUAGUUCAUCAUUGUAAGCUAGUUUCGAGUUGAUUGAGAGGGAGGGCGUUUGUUGAUUUAAAUGCGAAUAUGGAUGUAAUUUAUUUUCUCAUACUUGGCUGCACUCAUUUUUAAUGCAAGCAUGAUUAAAUAAACAUAUUUUAAUCCACAUAUUACACUCUAUUUGUUUAUUUAAAAUGUAUGUCAAAUCAUUUUUAGAAACAACGAUUGUAAACAAUGUAAAUGAAGUCGAAGGAGCAUCCAGCUGCUGAUCUAGAUGCAGCAUUUCCUUCCUACUAGUAAUUAUGUUUUGAACUUGAG